rnacentral:rRNA from 1 species
GUGCCAGCGCGGUAAUACGUAGGGUGCGAGCGUUAAUCGGAAUUACUGGGCGUAAAGCGUGCGCAGGCGGCGCGUUAAGACAGGUGUGAAAGCCCCGAGCUUAACUUGGGAAUUGCGCUUGUGACUGGCGUGCUGGAGUGUGGCAGAGGGAGGUGGAAUUCCACGUGUAGCAGUGAAAUGCGUAGAGAUGAUGGAGGAACACCGAUGGCGAAGGCAGGUCUCUGGGCCACUACUGACGCUGGAGAAGCGAAAGCAUGGGGAGCGAACAGG